AAUUGUUAAGAGCUCAAAACUGGCAGUUUCCAAUUGGCCACUCACUUUGUACAUUACUAGCUUAUCCUUUCUCACAAAAAUUGACUGGCAUGUGUAACAGACAGCCAGUCCAACAGUUUGAAACCUCCACUGAAGAUGGAUAUUCAUUCCAUAAUUUGAUCUGUGAAUUUGCCCAAUAAAACUGGUACUCUAUCAGAGAGACUUAAUUAAUUAAUUGAUUGAUUGUGUGUUGUGAUAGAGCAGUUGAAAUUUAGAAGAGGCACAGUGGACAAGCUCAACCACAUGAAACAUUUGCAAUUAUUGUACAAAGAAAGGACAAAUCUCGUUUAAAGUUUUACAAGUGGCUCACAUGAUGAAAUCACCAGAGUAAUAAAUGCAGUACAAUAACUGUACUUGUGUAGCUGCUGUUUAAUACACAGAAGAAUAAAUGACUCAUGAAAAAGUAACUAUGCUGUGCCAAAGAAACAGUGAGUGAGAACAUUCAAGGAAAUCCAUUGAUUGAAAUAUACUGACUUCAUGAUUACCACAAUGGAACAAAAAAAAACUGCUCUUGGAUUCCAUUGGGAACACCUUCUCAAAGGAACGUGGUCACUUGUGACUGCAACAGUUGGAGCCCAGCAGCAGGAUAUGCCUAGCAUGCCAGUUACUGUCAAUGUCACCGCUUAGGAGACAUUCAAGCAGCAAGAAGGGAGAUUAAAGGGUUACCAGAAGACAGCACACCACAGUUUGCCACUUUCAAACUA